rnacentral:lncRNA from 1 species
UCAACAAUCAUCGGUCCACCCAUUAAGUCUACAGAAGGUAACAAGGCUAGCAGGAAAAGCUGGAAAGAAAUCUACAGCUACAUAUCGCUACACUAGCAUGAUCUACACUAACCAACUGUAGUAAAAGUCACAACUGACUCAAUCUCACUAGGGACUGUGAACACACCCGUCCCGCCUGUCGGAUCGAACCCGUAUCCUACUCCAGGAAUAGCUGGUGGAGAAAACUCUCUAGGGACUGUGAAUACACCCGUCCCGCCUAAUUAGGUGACACCGUAGCUCAAGAGUAACUGGCGGAGAAAACUCUCUGGAGACUGUGAAUACACCCGUCCCGUCUACUAGAAUACGUCGUAUUUCAAGAGUAAUCGGCGGAGAAAACUCUCUAAAGACUGUGAAUACACCUGUCUCACCUAAUUAGACUACACCAUACCUCGAGAGUAGUCGGUCCCAGAAAAAGGUCCAACAGGAUGGUUAAGACUCCACUCACGUCACAACCUCACUAAAGGUAGGGAAAAACGUCACUCACUAUCUCACCCGGGCUGCCCAAAACGGACCCACCCUACCUGUAUCUAGCUGCGCCGUACACCACCCCGAGGGUAGCCGGCUCAAGAACUGUCCAACAGAAACUGCGACACUUAUCGCACUGAAACCUCAUUCCCGAAUAGCAUUCACGAGCGCGACCCAACGAGUUUACAAGUAUCUCUGUCAAGUUCAUACCGCUCUCACAGGCUAAGUCAAGUAACCGACCUUAACUGGUCUAACAACGAACAGGUAAAGUGCCCUCGACACAAUCUAACGCUAAAAAGGCGAUACGAGUCCACCGUCAACUCCGACGGCACCCAACAGUCCGGAACAGCCUGAACUCUACUAUAAAAAUACACUCGGCAUCCCAGCACGAGCGUAACUAAAAAUUAAACUACCUGAAAUAUUCACUAUGAGGAUACUGCAACAGUAUAAAAUAAUACAACGGCCCCUAGGCUAAAUCAGGUAGUUUAACAUAUGCCAGGUCCCGAAAGCCGGUUUUCUCCUGUGUCAAAUCCAGGUCCAACAUGUAUAAUUUAUUUAUAAAAAUAGGCUCCAAUUUCAGUUUAGAUGAAAACAACAUUUACAAAUAUGAAACUGAGCUAAAACAAUAGUAAUGUGUAAUACUAACAAUACAUGUUGACCAACAAGACUAUACGAGUAGGAAUCCGAUGAUAAACCCACCUCGAAAGGUAAAUCCAAUCCGGCGCGACGUCGAGAACGGCGGAAACGCACCCUCGUCCAGCCUCCUCGUGAUGCUACGACUGCAACCGUAUCCUCGAACGGCUUUGCGGCGCGACGUCAAUGUCGAAUCCGAGCUCCUCGGCUACCUCUACCCGUGCUCUCCACCAUGCACGUAAUUAACUAGAGAGAACAAAAAAAAAUGCACACUCUCUGUUAAUUUGAAGAGAUAAACAUGAAAAGGGUGGUGGCAUCCUUAUCCAAAAAAAUGACCACUAUGCCCCUAGACCAACUCAAAAUGAAGGGUAUUACAUCCUCCCCCACUAUAAAAAGUUUCGUCCUCGAAACUUAAAACAUAUCUCAAACCUGAGUCUCGAACAAGUAGGGAUAGGACUCCCGCAUCACCAUCUUCGGCUCCCAGGUUGCCUUCCGUUCCUCAUGAUUGCUCCACUACACUUUCACAUACGGGAUGUCCCGGUUGCGCAAUUCUUUCGUCUCCCGAGCAAGAAUCCGCAACGGUCGCUCCUCGUAUCUCAGAUCCUCGCCAAUCUCUAGUGGAGUGAAAUCGAUCACGUGAGAAGGAUCGAAAAUAUAUCUCCUCAAUGCUGAGACGUUGAAGACAUCGUGAAUGCCAGCUAGUCACGGGGGUAGAGCGAUCCUGUAAGCAACUGGUCCAACUCGCUCCAAUACCUCAAAAGGGCCAACAAAGCGUGGACUGAGCUUUCCACGCACUCCAAAUCGGCAAAUCCCUCUGGACGGCGAGACUUUAAGAAAUACAUGAUCUCCAACCUGGAACUCUAAGUCUCGUCUCCUGGUAUCGGCGUAGCUCCUCUGGCGGCACUGGGCUGUCAAAAGGUGUCGUCGAACAACUCUCACCUUUUCCUCAGCCUCUAGCAAAAUCUCAGGCCCAAGUGUCUUCCUCUUACCCACAUCACUCUAAAACAACGGGGAUCGACAUCUGCGUCCAUACAACGCCUCAAACGGAGCUAUCUGGAUGCUCGUUUGAUAGCUGUUGUUGUACGCAAACUCAACCAGUCUCAAAUGUCGAUACCACCCUCCUCCAAAAUCCAGGACACAUGCCCUCAGCAUGUUCUCUAGAGUCUGAAUGGCCCUCUCUGACUGACCAUCUGUCUGUGGGUGGAACGCUGUGCUAAAAUGCAACUGAGUGCCCAAGGCUGUCUGUAGACUCCUCCAAAACUGAGAUACAAACCUCGGGUCUCUGUCUGAUACAAUCGACACUGGCACGCCGUGCAGCCUGACGAUCUCAUCCAGGUAUAGAUGCGCGAGUCUCUCUCUGGACCAGAUGGUCUGAACCGAUAAGAAGUGAGCAGACUUGGUCAGUCUGUCCACUAUCACCCAAAUCGCAUCAAAGCCACCCUGCGCUCUAGGCAAUCUCACGACAAAGUCCACCGUAAUCUUCUCCCACUUUCACUCGACACUGGCAGACUCUGAAGCUUGCCAGCAGGUACCUGAUGCUCGGCCUUCACCUAUUGGCAAGUCAAAUACUGAGCCACAUACCGGCCAAUGCCUCUCUUCAUUCCAUUCCACCAAAACUGUGCCUUCAAGUCCUUAUACAUCUUGGUUUCACUUGGGUGAACCGUAUAAGGAGAACAAUGAGUCUCUCUCAAGAUGUCCUCUUGGAUCCCUAAAUCCACCGGCACACACAGUCGGUCCCUAUACCGCAGUACUCCCGAACUGUCAACAGAAAAACCCUCAGCCUGUCCCCUAUGUAGCUGCUCUCGAAUCCUCGUCAAGUACGGAUCUCCACUCUGUUUCUCUCGGAUCCUAUCCAACAGAGUGGGCUGCAAGACCAGAGACAUUAGUCUCGCAGUAGACCCAGGGGAUAUUAUCUCAAGCCUCAGCCGCUGGAGCUCCUCAAGUAACGGUCUCUGCUCAGUGAUCAUCACACUCAGGCUCUGCACUGACUUCCUGCUCAACGCAUCUGCCACUACAUUCGCCUUACCGGGAUGAUACUGAAUACUAAUGUCAUAGUCCUUCAGUAACUCCAACCACCGGUGCUGCCUCAGGUUCAGCUCCCUCUGUGUGAACAGAUACUUGAGACUUUUAUGAUCCGUAAAAAUCUCGCAGUGCUCGCCGUACAAGUAAUGUCGCCACAACUUCAAAGCAAAGACUACCGCGGCAAGCUCCAAGUCAUGCGUAGGGUAAUUCUUCUCAUAAUCCUUUAACUGCCGUGAUGCAUAAACAAUUACCCUACCAUGCUGCAUCAACACACAACCCAGUCCACUGUGCGAUGCAUCAUUGUAGAUCACAAAUCCUUCCCCCAUCACAGGAAGGGCAAGGAUAGGAGCUGACGUCAACCUUUGUCGCAACUCAUCAAAGCUCCUCUGACAAUCCUCACUCUAGAUGAAUCUAAUCCCCUUUCGCGUCAAUCGAGUGAGGGGUGUGGAAAGCUUCGCAAAGCCUUCCACAAACCGACGGUAAUAUUCUGCUAAUCCAAGGAAACUCCUCACCUCUGUCACCGUCACCGAUCUGGGCCAACCCCGAAUAACAUCAAUCUUCUUCGGGUCCACUGCUACUCCCUCUGCUGAUAUCACAUGGCCCAAGAAAGCAACCUCUCGUAACCAGAACUCGAACUUCUUCAACUUGGCAUACAACUUCUUCUCUCGCAGAAGUUGUAGCACAAUUCUCAAGUGCUCCUCAUGCUCAGCAUCACUCCGGGAGUAAAUCAGGAUAUCGUCGGUAAAGACUACCACAAAUCUAUCCAAGAACGACUUAAACACUCUGUUCAUCAAAUCCAUGAAUGCUGCAGGGGCAUUCGUCAAUCCAAAAGGCAUCACCGUUAACUCAUAAUGCCCGUACCGAGUCCGAAAAGCCGUCUUGGGAACAUCCUCGGCCCUUACCCUCAAUUGGUGGUAACCUGACUGGAGAUCAAUCUUCGAAAAGACAUAAGAUCCCUGCAGCUGAUUAAACAGAUCAUCAAUGCGCGGCAAGGGAUACUUAUUCUUGAUGGUCACUUUAUUCAGCUCCCGGUAGUCCACACACAGCCUAAGUAAACCAUCAUUCUUCUUCACAAACAACACCGGCGCUCCCCAAGGCGAAACAUUGGGUCUCACAAACCCUCUAUCCAUCAAAUCCUGAAGCUGUGCCUUUAGCUCUCUCAGCUCUGCUGGCGCAAUCCGAUAAGGUACCUUUGAGAUUGGUGCAGUUCCAGGAACUACAUCAAUCACAAACUCAAUCUCCCUCUCCGGCGGCAACGUCGUCAACUCAGGAGGAAACACAUCUAGAAACUCAUGGACUAUAGGGAUAUCCUCGAGUCCCGGCGCCGCCGUAGGUACCUCCACAACUGCCGCUAAGAAAGCGAUACACCCACUACUCAGCAUCUGUCGAGCUCUCGCCGAAGAUAUCCAGGUGGCAAACAACGUACUACUACAGCCUCUGAAAGUGAACUCCUUCUGGCUUGGCUCGCGGAAUGUCACCGUCCUCGCUCCACAAUCGAUCGUAGCAUAGUACCGCGUCAACCAAUCCAUACCGAGCACGAUGUCAAAGCCCUGCAGCUGCCCUAACACCAACAGGUCUGCGGCAUAAACCACGAAUCUAACUGCACCGGACACGACCAACAACACUCCGCAGUCUGUAACACAUGGUCGGGGAUCUGCACCUCUCGUGUCAAAGACAACGACCCUAACUCUAGACCAUAUAACAGUGCAAAUACUUGGCUAACAAAAGAAUGCGAGGCACCGGUAUCAACUAAAGUACGACUACAUAUGCCAAAAAUCAAAAUGAUACCUGCCACCAUACGGUCGGCUGCUGAAGAGUCCUCCCGAUGGUAACUCGGUAGUACUCCAAAAGUCUGCUGGUCAGCUGGCUGCGCUGAUGCAAUGGAUAGUGCUGGAAAUGUCGCUCUAGGACACGCUGACCUCACAUGUCCUGGCUGUCCACAAGUGUAGCAGCGACCCUCUUUCUGCUCACAUUGUCGGGGCCAGUGUGGUCCUCCAUAAAUCACGCACCGCAGCGUCCUCGGUGACGGUCCCUGCUGAAGCAAUCCCCUGGAAAGCUGACGCCCCGAUGAACCACGACCCUAAGAGCAAGAUCGAGAAAGCCUCAGCGGACGUCUGCUACUCGCCUGUCCUCCAUCAUCUGGAAAAGGGCGCUUCCUGUCUUGGCUCUGCCCCGGUGCCAUAGUCCGCUCCUAGAUGGGUGUAACUCCGUGUCCCACCAAGAGUACCUGCUGCACAGAUGCUCCUGUCUCAACUCCUGACCACUGAGUGAUAAUCUCAUAAAUUCUCUGCAAUAGUACACUCUGCUGCUUGAUCACUGUCAGGGCAGCCAACUGCUCUCUCAAAUCAGGGGGUACACUUGCCUCCGGUCGUGCACUCGGCUCUGCCUGGUCGGGCAUCUCUAGCGGUGCGACUUGAUCCCUGGUCGACGGUCAACCUCGGCAGCAAUCAGAACGAAACAAAACGGGGUCAAAUACAACUCAAACACUCUCGACCCAAUCAAUGAAAGUCUAGAAAGCAACCCCUGUUUUCCUCUAAAAUUAUGUCGUCUGCAGUCAACAUAAUUUCUCAGGCCAAAACAGGUACUCCUUCAAUCACUCACCCCACUCUCGGAGGAGUUAGAACAACUAAUCAUUGACUUUCGCAAUUAGAUUACGCCUCUCACUUCUUGCUUUCCUAAGGUUUGCCAAACUUAGGUUCUCUAGGUCCCAACGACCGAAUGCUAAACUCUGAUACCAACUUAAUCUGUCACGCCCCGGAUUACAGUUCCCCGGACACGCCGACAAAUCCGCCGUAUACAAAGGAAUUUUCCCUGUAUACGAAGCGACAGUUGUACCUGUAAAACAUACAAUACUACAAACAGUAAUAUAGAGCUGCUAGAAGAACUAGUAAAGUAAAAGAAACCGAGUUCCAUAUACAUACACUGAAUCCCAGAGUACAAAGCUACUCGCGCUGGCGAGUUAAAAGUCUGUAUGUACAUGAACCCAAACCAAAACAUCUACCUGCAGUAGGGGUGCAUCUAGCUCUGCUCCUCGGGUAGGGCUCUAACUCGUGAUGCCCUUGCCUAGCUCCUGACCAGCAACAGCAGCAGCCGAAGACGAAGGCUCUGCAAAAACGGGAUAACAACUGGACGUGAGAACUACUGUAGAAACAAGUAGUCCUCAGUGGGUGCCGCCCUCAACAAUCAUCGGUCCAGCCACUAAGUCUACAGAAGGUAACAAGGCUAACAGGAAAAGCUGGAAAGAAAUCUACAGCUACAUAUCGCUACACUAGCAUGAUCUACACUAAACAACUGUAGUAAAAGUCAAAACUGACUCAAUUUCACUAGGAACUGUGAACACACCCGUCCCGCCUGCCGGAUCGAACCCGUAUCCUACUCCAGGAAUAGCUGGUGGAGAAAACUCUCUAGGGACUGUGAAUACACCCGUCCCGCCUAAUUAGGUGACACCGUAGCUCAAGAAUAACCGGCGGAGAAAACUCUCUGGAGACUGUGAAUACACCCGUCUCGUCUACUAGAAUACGCCGUAUCUCAAGAGUAAUCGGCGGAGAAAACUCUCUAAAGACUGUGAAUACACCCGUCUCACCUAAUUAGACUACACCAUACCUCGAGAGUAGUCGGUCCCAGAAAAAGGUCCAACAUGAUGGUUAAGACUCCACUCACGUCACAACCUCACUAAAGGUAGAGAAAAACGUCACUCACUAUCUCACCCGGGCUACCCAAAACGGACCCACCCUGCCUGUAUCUAGCUGCGCCGUACACCACCCCGAGGGUAACCGGCUCAAGAACUGUCGAACAGAAACUGCGACACUCAUCGCACUGAAACCUCAUUCCGGAAUGGCAUUCGCGGGCGCGACCCAACGAGUUUAUAAGUAUCUCUGUCAAGUUCAUACCGCUCUCACAGGCUAAGUCAAGUAACCGACUCUAACUGGUCUAACAACCAACAGGUAAAGUGCCCUCGGCACAAUCUAACGCCAAAAAGGCGAUACGAGUCUACCGUCAACUCCGACGGCACCCAACAGUCCGAAAUAGCCUGAACGCUACUAUAAAAAUACACUCGGCAUCCCAGCACGAGCGUAACUAAAAAUUAAACUACCUGGAAUACUCACUAUGAGGAUACUGCAACAGUAUAAAAUAAUACAACGGUCCCUAGGCUAAAUCAGGUAGUUUAACAUAUGCCAGGUCCCGAACACGGGUUUUCUCCUAUGUCAAAUUCAGAUCCAAUAUGUAUAAUUUAUUUAUAAAAAUAGGCUCCAAUUUCAGUUUAGAUGAAAACAACAUUUACAAAUAUGAAACUGAGCUAAAACAAUAGUAAUGUGUAAUACUAACUAUACAUGUCGACAAACAAGACUAUAUGAGUAGGAAUCCGAUGAUAAACUCACCUCGAAAGCUAAAUCCAAUCUGGCGCGACGUCGAGAAUGGCGGAAACGCACCCUCGUCCAGCCUCCUCAUGAUGCUACGACUGCAACCGUAUCCUCGAACGGCUUUGCGGCGCGACGUCGAUGUCGAAUCCGAGCUCCUCGGCUACCUCUAUCCGUGCUCUCCACCAUGCACGUAAUUAACUAGAGAGAACAAAAAAAAAUGCACACUCU